CGCUCCCGAGGGUGAGACGCGCGCCCCCGGCCCCGCGUCGCUCGCUCCCCUCAGUUCCCGGUGAGCUGUCGGUCUCCCCGGACCCUCCGGACCCCCUGCCUCGGGCAGCCCCCACCGGUACCCCAGCCCCGCCUGUCUGCCAGUUCCCGCCCCGAGCGAGGCGGUCCAGAGGGGCGCGGUGGGCUUCGGGGUCGGUGGGACACAGUGGGUCUGGGAUCAGUGAAGCAGAGUGGGUCCGGGAUCAGUAGGGCACAGUGGGUCCGGGAUCAGUGGGGCACAGUGGGUCUGGGAUCAGUAGGGCACAGUGGGUCUGGGAUCAGUAGGGCACAGUGGGUCCGGGAUCAGUGGGGCACAGUGGGUCUGGGAUCAGUAAGGCACAGUGGGUCUGGGAUCAGUAGGGCACAGUGGGUCUGGGAUCAGUAAGGCACAGUGGGUCCGGGAUCAGUAAGGCACAGUGGGUGUCAGGUACUGGUGGACUUCUGGAGAUCUCAUAAUUACGACUCUGAAGACCUCAUGCUUUCAGCUCUGCAGGCUUAUUUUCCUAAACAACAGCUCAGAUAUGUCUGUGUAGUGCUGCAUUGCAGGCCAGAUGCUCUAAAUAAUUUUCUGCUCAAGUCCUCUUGAAUGCAUCUGAACAUAUCCAGUGCAUGAAGGGGAGAAAGAACAUGAGCUCUGCUGUCUUUGUUAUUCAGGGCUGGAUAAAAGAAGAGAAAUUCUACUGGAUAAGUGGCCUGGAGACUUUUUAACAGCUUUGCCUCUUUAAAAUGCAUGAGGAACCACAGGACAGGAAUGGAGAAGUGUUGAGUUACAGAGGGAGUUGUGACUGUGGACUAACAGACUCCAGUCUGGGCAAAGGGAAAUCAGCUGUGAAGAUCUGCAUGAAAAUGGCAAUGCAAAACCUAAAACCAGAUAGAUAAAUCAUCGGCUGGUGUUUUCCAGAGGUUUCUGCCAUGAUCUUUUGCAAAGGAAAAGAAAAUCAAAAAUCAAGUAUCCAUUUCACGUACCUUUUGCUAGAAUCCAACAGUGCGUCAUUCUGUAGAGACAGAUCCCUGUGCUCUCUGUGACUGAAGCAUGGAGGUUGUAGGUCUUUAGAAAAAAUCUCUUCUCAGGUCCUGUUUCAAGCUGUGUGCUCUUACAGAACAGAGAUCUUAAUUUUAGAAGCUGUAUUGGAAGUACUUCCUCUGGUUGCUUGGUCUUUAGUACUUAGUGUGCUACUACCUGGCUUGUAGUUCACUUGUGCAAACCAUUUUGUGACUGUUGCUGAACCUUAAAAUAUAGGGGAGGUUCUCAGACCUAGGUGCAUCCCAUGCCCUAAAAAUUCUGGCUGCCUAAAUGCAAAUUCUUCUGCCAGCCCUUUCUUCCUCUGGGUGAUGUGGGAGGGAGAAACGCAAUAAAACAAAUUUUGAAAAGAUAACCCAAAGGAUGUGUAAAAAAACCCAUAGAGAGCACAUUUGCUUUUGGCCAGCUUGUUUGCAAACAGGUGUCUCUCAAGAACAGGCUGUGACAGCAGGCAGAGAAGAGCACCAUACAAGGGGCAUCACUGGCUCUGCUGAAUUGCAGUGCACGUAACACUCUCACUGAUCAUCAAGAGCUUCCACCUCGUGCUAAAGGACUGACAACAGUGACUGACUGCUGGCACCAGAGCCUUGCUUUGUUGAUUUAUUGGAAAAAGCCUCCAGCACUCAGCACAUUUUCCUAUCCGAAGGUGGCUGGAAACCAGUGUAGCUGGAUCAGGUAGGAGAAGCAAAGAAUUUUCAUAUAUUGAAUUCCUUGGUGUCAGGUGUGUUUUUUUCUUCUCAGAGACAAACAGAAAAGUCCUGUGAGUUAAAAUUUGCUUCUCAGGUCUGAUAUCAAAAGCCAUUGCCUUUACUCUUCAUAAUUUCACUUUUGCAUGGAACAAAUAGCCUAGAACUAUUUCACAUGAACAUGGUCCAAAAACUGUUUCACAGGAACAUGGCCCAUUUUUUAAAAUAUAUUUUCACUUUAUUUUUGUUUCAUAACUUUGUGGCCUGGAAUGCAUGUUGCAAUAGUUUCUUGCAAAAGAUCCCAUGCAGCUUUAUACGUCCUGCUAAUGAGAUACAGCAAUGACCAUGCCCAGUGCUGACAUGCAAGCUUUAUUAUUAAUUACAUUUGGCCUUGACCUAAGAAAAGACUUCAAACCUGUAAUUGCCCUUAAGACUAGGUGUUUGUCUUCCCAACUCUAACACCAGUAAUAUUCAGAGAAUUAUUCUAGAUAUAGAUAUAUACAUUUUCUCUGGCAGAAUAUUUCCCAAGAGUUGUGGUGCAUUUGAAUCUUAUCUUGCACACAGUGAUUCACUAGCCAGGAAAUGUGCAUGCUUAUUUUAUAUUCACCUCUUUGCAGGGAAUCUCAUUCUUCAGAGAAACAGCUGGUCCUUCAUUCAGCACCCCUGAGAGGUGGAACCUCAUGAGAAAAGUAUGAAACUACCAUUUGUAAUAAAAGGGAAUGAUUGAUUGUGUAAACAGAGACCAGUAAAACGCUCAGCAUGCAUUAACACCUUCUUAACAUUUGAAAAUGCA